rnacentral:rRNA from 1 species
UUAGGCUUUCGGGGGAAUACUGCCAGACUUGGAACCGGGAGAGGUAAGAGGUACUACAGGGGUAGGAGUGAAAUCUUGUAAUCCCUGUGGGACCGACCUGUGGCGAAGGCGUCUUACCAGAACGGGUUCGACGGUGAGGGACGAAAGCUGGGGGGCACGAACCGGAUUAGAUACCCGGGUAGUCCCAGCCGUAAACGAUGCUCGCUAGGUGUCAGGCAUGGCGCGACCGUGUCUGGUGCCCGCAGGGAAGCCGUGAAGCGAGCCACCUGGGAAGUACGGCCGCAAGGCUGAAACUUAAAGGAAUUGGCGGGGGAGCACAACAACGGGUGGAGCCCUGCGGUUUAAUUGGACUCAACGCCGGACAACUCACCGGGGGCGACAGCAAUAUGUAGGCCAAGCUGAAGACUUUGCCUGAAUCGCUGAGUAGAGGUGCAUGG